rnacentral:rRNA from 1 species
GUGUCAGCAGCCGCGGUAAUACGGAGGAUGCAAGCGUUAUCCGGAAUGAUUGGGCGUAAAGCGUCCGCAGGUGGUGAUGUAAGUCUGCUGUCAAAGCGUCUAGCUCAACUAGAUACAGGCAGUGGAAACUACAUGACUAGAGUGCGUUCGGGGCAGAGGGAAUUCCUGGUGUAGCGGUGAAAUGCGUAGAUAUCAGGAAGAACACCGGUGGCGAAAGCGCUCUGCUAGGCCGCAACUGACACUGAGGGACGAAAGCUAGGGGAGCGAAUGGGAUUAGAAACCCUGGUAGUCC